rnacentral:rRNA from 1 species
GUGGCAUACGGCUCAGUAACACGUAGUCAACAUGCCCAGGGGGCGUGGAUAACCUCGGGAAACUGAGGAUAAACCGCGAUAGGUCACUACUUCUGGAAUGGGUAAUGACCCAAACCUAUAUGGCCCCUGGAUUGGACUGCGGCCGAUCAGGCUGUUGGUGAGGUAAUGGCCCACCAAACCUGUAACCGGUACGGGCUCUGAGAGGAGGAGCCCGGAGAUGGGCACUGAGACAAGGGCCCAGGCCCUAUGGGGCGCAGCAGGCGCGAAACCUCUGCAAUAGGCGAAAGCUUGACAGGGUUACUCUGAGUGAUUUCCGUUAAGGAGAUCUUUUGGCACCUCUAAAAAUGGUGCAGAAUAAGGGGUGGGCAAGUCUGGUGUCAGCCGCCGCGGUAAUACCAGCACCCCGAGUGGUCGGGACGUUUAUUGGGCCUAAAGCAUCCGUAGCCGGUUCUACAAGUCUUCCGUUAAAUCCACCUGCUUAACAGAUGGGCUGCGGAAGAUACUAUAGAGCUAGGAGGCGGGAGAGGCAAGCAGUACUCGAUGGGUAGGGGUAAAAUCCGUUGAUCCAUUGAAGACUACCAGUGGCGAAGGCGGCUUGCCAGAACGCGCUCGACGGUGAGGGAUGAAAGCUGGGGGA